AACGAGACCUUAACCUGCUAAAUAGCCAGACUAGCUUUGUCUUUUCUCCGUCUUCUUAUAGGGACUAUCUGCUCAAGCCUAUUUAAGUUUGAGGCAAUAACAGGUCUGUGAUGCCCUUAGAUGUUCUGGGCCGCACGCGCGCUACACUGACAGAGCCAACGAGUUCAUCACCUUGUCCGAAAGGUCUGGGUAAUCUUGUGAAACUCU
rnacentral:rRNA from 1 species